UACGUAGGUCGCAAGCGUUGUCCGGAUUUACUGGGCGUAAAGAGCGCGCAGGCGGCUGGUCAAGUCCGAUGUGAAAUCUCCCGGCUUAACUGGGAAACUGCAUCGGAAACUGAUCGGCUUGAAGGUGGGAGAGGGUAGUGGAAUUCCCGGUGUAGUGGUGAAAUGCGUAGAUAUCUGGAGGAACACCGGUGGCGAAGGCGGCAUCCUGGACCAACACUGACACUGAGGAGCGAAAGCCAGGGGAGCAAACCGG
rnacentral:rRNA from 1 species